ACCGACAGCAAUAUGAAGGCCAGGCUGAAGACUUUGCCGGAUUAGCUGAGAGGUGGUGCAUGGCCGUCGUCAGUUCGUACUGUGAAGCAUCCUGUUAAGUCAGGCAACGAGCGAGACCCACGCCCACAGUUGCCAGCGUACUCUCCGGAGUGACGGGUACACUGUGGGGACCGCCGCUGCUAAAGCGGAGGAAGGAAUGGGCAACGGUAGGUCAGUAUGCCCCGAAUAUCCCGGGCUACACGCGAGCUACAAUGGUUGGUACAAUGGGUAUCUACCCCGAAAGGGGACGGGAAUCUCCUAAAACCAAUCUUAGUUCGGAUUGAGGGCUGCAACUCGCCCUCAUGAAGCUGGAAUCCGUAGUAAUCGCGUUUCAACAGAACGCGGUGAAUACGUCCCUGCUCCUUGCACACACCGCCCG
rnacentral:rRNA from 1 species